rnacentral:rRNA from 1 species
CCUGGCGGCAAUAGCGCGGUGGUCCCACCUGACCCCAUGCCGAACUCAGAAGUGAAACGCCGUAGCGCCGAUGGGAGUGU